rnacentral:lncRNA from 10 species
CCGAGAUUGAGCCACUGCACUCCAGCCUGGGCAACAGAGCAACACUCUGUCUCAAAAAAACAAAACACAACAAAACAAACCCACAAAUAUGUUAUCUUACAGUUCUAUAGACCAGAAGUCCAACACAGGUCUCACCAGGCUAAAAUCAAGCUGUUAACAGGGCUGCUUCCUCACUGGGAGCUUUAGAUGGGAAUCUGUUUCCUGCUCAUUAGGUUUAUUCACAGACUUUAGGGCCAUGCAGUUGUAGAACUGAGGUCCCCUUUCCCUUGUAGUUGGCUGGUGGUUCCCUUCCUCCAUUUUCAAAGCCUGCAAUGGAGGGACAGGCUCUUUUCAUGUCACAUUCCUCUGACCCAUUCUUCUGUCUUCCUCUUCUACUGCUGACAAUUCAUGUGAUUAGACUGGGCUCCCCUGGAUAAUCCAGGAUACUCUCCUCAUCUCAAAGUCCAUACCCUAAGCACAUGUACAAAGUCCCCUUUGCUAUGUAAGGUAACAUAUUCACAGGUUCCAAGGAUUAGGAUGUGAACAUCUUUGAGGAACCAUCAUUCUGUCCACCACAAGGGCUUUGAGCAAUGGAGCAACUGCUCACUCUGCAGCCAAGAAUGUGUCAGUCUAGUUGCUCUGUUGAAAAUAGUUGGGAGUGGGAGGAGGAAGGCCAGGGAGGAUAGGGCAAGAAGCAGGAAGCUGGUGUAGAGGCUAACACGAUAAUUCAGGGGACAAAUAAUGGUAGUUUCAACCAAGGUGGGGGGUGACUCUGGAAGAGUCAAGGCUAGAUAAGGUGACAAUAGGUUUUAGGUGUCAAGUUGGCUAAGCUACAGUCCUCAGUUAUUCAGUCAAACACUAAUCUGGGUGUUGCUGUGAAGACAUUUUACGGACAUGAUUAAAGUCCCUCAUCAACUGACUUUCAGCCAGGGAGAUAAUCCUAGAUUGAAGGUGGGCCUGAUCCAAUCCAUUGAAAGGCCCUAGAAGAGCUGAGCGUUCCCUGAUGAAGAAAUUCUGCCUGUGGAUGGCAAUUCCGCUCAUGCCCAGGAGUUCCAACCUGCUCUUUCUGACGGUGUGCCCUAUGGAUUUCCCACUGGCCUAACCAGCCCCAUGAUUAUGUGAGGCAGGAGAAUCGGGCCUGGAGGCAGGGAACCUCAGGGCUUCCUAGAACUAAAUCAAAUGGAAACACUUCAGCUAUGACAGGAACUACACUCGUCAUUUACAUAGAAUGUACACCAAAUACAUAACUUUGUAACCUCACUUUAGCCUCUUCAUUUACAUAGGGCGUACACCAAGUAACCAAUGGAAACCUCUAGAUGGUAUUUAAACCCCAGAAAAUUCUGUAACCGGGCUCUUAAGCCCCUAUGCUCAGCCGCUCCCACCCUGUGGAGUGUACUUUUGUUUUCUAUAAAUCUCUGCUUUUGUUGCUUCAUUCUUUCCUUGGUUUGUUUGUGUGUUUUGUCCAAUUCUUCGUUCAAGAUGCCAAGAACCUGGACACCCCCAACUGGUAACAUAUGUAGGGCAAUUCCUCUUAAUAUGACUCUCCUACUGGUUCAGUUUCUCUGGUUGAACCCUGACUGAUACAUCCUGAAUAAGUUUGAAUGUGGAGCUGACCGGCUAAGCUAGUGUAUUGGAAGUGGGAUGUGAGAAAGUGGAGUCCAGGAUGAUGCCAAAGUUUUUGCCCCGAGCAGCCAGAAGGAUGGCUUAGGUAUCUCCUUCUAAGGUAGGAAUCACGAAUGCAAAAGCCACCUACAAAAGCCUGUUCAAGGGAUGGCAAAGGAAGAUGCCCAGUUUCCCCCAAGGAAGCCCUUUCAGACGGGGGAUGUGUAUAGGCAGGAAUGGGUUGGAGUGGCUGGCCAGCCCUGAUGUGGGCAAGCUCCAAUUUAAGGGGGUGAAAUAGGUAAUAAAGUCACUGCUGUGCUCCAUGCCACUCAUCCAGAAACACUAGUGGUUUUCCAGUGCAUUCUGGAAUCCUCAGGAAAUCUGGAGAUCUUUUUACUGUUCUCUGCUGUGAACCCCACCUCCCCUGCUGCUGUGUGCUCUGGGAAUGAGUUAGCUGAACCCUGAGCCAAAAACCAACAAGGAGUGCUGAAUAGAGACUUUAUGGAGUUGCUCUGUGGGCUUUUUUUCUUGUGAAGGAACAGGGUGUGCUUGAAAGUAAAAAGUGAGUUAUUUGGUGUUGUUGUUGUUGUUAUUGUUGUUUAAAUCUUCCUGGAAGGCAGAAAGAAAGAGAUAAAAAGGAAAAAACAGCAUUUGUCACUUAUAGUGCUCUGGUUAGCACAGUAGCUGGGCCCCUGAACCCUCUACAGGCCUCCCAAGCUGGCACUGAAUAAAAUGUGAGAAAUGAAAGGAACUUUUCCGUGAGUCUGGCAGCGCCGACAGACACUGAGGUGGCAGAGCUGUCUGGUCCCAGUCCACAUGCAGAGGCCUGCAGCUCCUCCUUCCAGCCCGCACCCACCAGAGCUUCUCAGACGGGCCGUGUCCUGAGAAGGUUGUUGCCAAUGUAGAUGUUUGAGAGGCUCACUGAUGAACAAAUCAACAGAGCAGAUUUAAUCUGAAGAGAUCCAAAUAUUGUGCUUCUUUGGACUCAUAGAAAUGGCGAAAGAUUUAACAUCAGGAAGUACUUAAGUCAGCUAAUUUCUAGAGCCUUCUUCCUCCCUGUCACUUGAUUCUAGAUAGGAUCACCAGUUAGACAUCAGAACCAGAUCUUUUUAUCCAGAGAAGUACCAGUUUGUUGUUUUUCCUUCCGAAGCCAAGUCCUCGAGUUUCAGGUAGACUUCAGUUGAUUUCUGCGAGGUCUUUGCUUUCUCUCUGCCAGAAUAAUCACUGCUGAGGAAAGCAAAAAGCCCCGAAGAGCCUGGCUUGGAAUAAAAACAUGCACCAUACAAGAUUUUUAUGAAGAUUAAAUAACUUGGGCUAAAAUAUUCUGGAAGCUGCCAAGGGCUCUACAGAUGAGCUAUACAGAGGCAUUUGCUGAAAACUGGCCUGGAUUGACAAGCGCAAUGCAAACGUGGCUGCGGCAGUUCCAGGCAUCACAUGGUAACAAGAUCACAUCCAGUGAAGAAGGAAUUCUCAUAAGACAGUCAGCAGAUUUUGCAGUCCUGCAAGGUGGAUAUCACUCUCACCUUCAGCGCACAAAGAAAGGAGGUAUACAGAAGACACAGAACUCACCAAAGUCACAGGAACUAGGUGAGGAUGAACCAGGCUGCAUCCAAGCAGCCCAGCUUCAGGGUCUGUAUUCUUUGCCACUACCCAGAACUUUUACCAAUAAGCAAAGCUAUUGUUUGCAAUAACAGGAAGCAAAAAUAGCAAAAAGUUCCCUUUAAGGGGGAGUGUUAUAAUAUACUUAACAAUCAGAAUGGCUGAAGCACUGAUCUGUGAGAGUGGCUACUGGUCAUAGCCUGGAGCUGGUCUUUUAGGUCCUCUUUGGUUACUGGAUCCUGGGAGGAUGGAUGAGGAAGUGGUCUCAGGCAAGGGGUGGAGUUAAGUGGCUGUGGAAGGUACUUUGGAGGCUCAGGCAGCAGCUUUUUUUCCCCUUAAACUUUUGUUUUAAGUUCUAGGGUACACGUGCAGGAUGUGCAGUUUACAUAGGUAAACGUGUGCCGUGGUGGUUUGCUGUACAGAACAAACCAUCACUCAGGUAUUAUUAAGCCCAGCACCCAUUAGCUAUUCUUUCUGAUGCUUUCCCUCUCCCAACUUCCACCCGACAGGCCCCAGUGUGUGUUGUUCCCCUCCCUCUGUUCUCAUUGUUCAGCUCCCACUUAUAAGUGAGAACAUGUGGUGUUUGGUUUUCUGUUCCUGCGUCAGUUUGCUGAGGAUAACAGCUUCCAGCUCCAACUAUGUCCCUGCAAAGGACAUGAUCUGAUUCCUUGUUAUGGCUGCAUAGUAUUCCAUGGUGUAUAUGUAACACAUUUUCUUUAUCCAGUCUAUUGUUGAUGCACAUUUGGGUUGAUUCCAUGCCUUUGCUAUUGUAAAUAGUGUUGCAAUGAACAUACAUCUUUAUAUAUGAAUAUAUGUAUCUUUAUAAUAGAAUGAUCUAUAUUCCUUUGGGUAUAUGCGCAGUAAUAAGAUUGCUGGGUCAAAUGGUAUUUCCGCUUCUAGAUCUUUGAGGAAUCGCCACACUGUCUUUCACCAUGGUUGAACUAAUUUACAUUCCCACCAACAGUGUAAAAACGUUCCUUUUUCUCCACAACUUUGCCAACAUCUGCAGUUUCUUGACUUUUUAAUAAUUGCCAUUCUGACUGGCAUGAGAUGGUAUCUCAUUUUGGUUUUGAUUUGCAUUUCUCUGAUGAUCAGUGAUGUUGAGCUUUUUUUUUUUUUUUUUUUUUUUUGAGACGGAGUCUUGCUCUGUCACCCAGGCUGGAGUGCAGUGGCACAAUCUCGGCUCACUGCAACCUCUGAGCCCCCCUCCCUCGGGUUCAAGUGAUUCUCCUGCCUCAGCCUCUUGAGUAGCUGGGAUGACAGGUGCCUGCCACCGUGCCCAGCUAAUUUUUGUAUUUUUAGUAGAGACGGGGUUUCACCAUCUUGGCCAGACUGGUCUUGAACUCCUGACCUCGUGAUCCACCCGCCUCGGCCUUCCAAAGUGCUGGGAUUACAGGCAUGAGCCACUGCGCCUGGCCUGAGCUUUUUUUUAAUGUUUGUUGGCCGCAUUAAUGUUUUAUUCUGAGAAGUGUCUGUUCAUGUCCUUUAGGGCAGCAGCUUUAAACAACUCAUACAGAAAGUUCAAUAUCUUAACUUCCAGUGUGGCAGGAUGGGUGUGCCCUGGGUGAAUACCAGAACUGGUUGUCAUUUUUCAGUGUUUCCUGAUCAACCUGUGGACAAAACAAACUGAUUUUUAAGGACAUUCUCAUUGUUUAAUGUUAUAUUGAUUUUAAAAAUAUAUUUUAUUAUUAAUACCAUGUUUAAAUUGUUUUUUAAAAAGACUUAAGGCAGCUUGUAGUUUAAAAAAACCCUUACAAAUAAAGUCAUUA